rnacentral:sRNA from 1 species
GCACUUCCACGUAGGAGAGGUUUAUUGGGGUGACAGAGACAAAAGGGGGAAAGAGAGGGAGGAAGAAGAAGGGGGAAAGUCAGGAAAGGUCUGCUUUUUAUUUAAACUGAGACGUGACCGCACGCAGGUAAAGGUGGGAGAUAAACCAAAUGAAUGCUGGGAAUGUAUGGUCGUUGCCAUGGCAACAGAUGCACACGUCCCUGUUGCCUGUUGGUGACGUCACUGCCGAAUCUUGUCUGUUGGUGACGUCACUGCCGGAUUCAGAGGCGAAAGCGGUUCCUGAUAUCAACAGUUGGUUCUGAUGCUGCUAAGUCUAUAAAGAAAAACUCUGAACUCUUUGGAGACAGAAACCUCACAUAGUCCAUGCUGGCCUUUGCUAUAUAACCAAGGCCGGCCUUGAACUUCUGAUGCCCCUGUCUCUACCUCCUGAGUUCUGGGAUUACAACAGACAGCUGGCCUUGGGAGGGGCAGGGGUUGUCCUUUUUAAAGCCUUAGUUUGUGGGAUUCAGGAAAGGGAGUCUGUAGUUGGGGACAAUAUCUUUGUAGACCUGAAGACCUAGCUUAUAACUUUCUUCCACUCAGUUUGGACAACAUCUAUACAUUCUGAGAGGGGUGAGACCCUCCCUAGACCAGAAAGAAUUGGGGGGUUGUCCAGUCAUGGGGCUGAAAUGAAAAAGUGGAAAAUCUGUAAGCAGAAGUAACUGAGUGACCGAUGACCACAUGAUGACCUUUGCAACCAGAUGCUAAGAUACCAACCAGCCCAGGACUGGACAGUGGAUCAGGUUAAGUCUCCUGUCCUCUAAUGCAGAGCGGGUGAGCAGAUGCUGGGUCACACUGGCUGUGGGCUGCAUGGAAUCUGCCGCUGGACCCCCUCAGCUGAAUCCACUGAGGAGCCUAGACUGCCAGAGGAUGAUCUUCCAAAAGGGGAAAAAUCUCCAGUAUCCUUCAAAGUGAAGACUGACCAGGUAUGAAGGGCGUUCCCCAAGGGAACCAUACUUAUAACUUGGUGAAGAAUGAACGGGUAUUGGUCAGGAAUAUUGGAAUGAAUUUGCAAAUGGAUACAAACUAGCCUUUCCACACACAACAAGGAAAGUCUUGUCUCAACCACAGAGAACCUAUUUGUGCAUCUGCGAUCAAGAAUUGUUUGCAAGACUGUUUGUUCUCCUGGGACAUCAGAAUAGCCAGGCCGGAUCACUGUGGGAGGAGCCAGCAUUCCACAGAAAGGGUGGUUAGUGCUUUCCUGCUGACUUCAAAGACUUAAUUUUUAUAGUCCUGACUCAAAUCAACAGCGAUGCAUUUUUCCACAAUGAGAGGCUCACACAGUAAUGCUUAAGUACAUACCCCACAGUCUCUCGGCCCCUAGGCCUGGAGCCUAGUCCUACAGCUUUGGGAGAGUGGCUCAAUCCGGAAUCAACAACCAGCAGCCCAAGAACUACAUCCAGCCCACUGCACUGCCUGCUUUUGAAAAGUUCUUCAGGAAGUUGUAGCUCAGUCAGUGGUAGAGCUCUCGGCUAACAUGCACAAACAUGCAGCGUUCAAUGUUCAGCACAGCAAGAGAGCAGACAAAAACCAUCCCAAACACCAAUACAGGUAGUGCCUUGGCUGCUGAUUCCCAUUUGCCAUCCUGACGUAGAGAACUGGACUGACUGCUGGUGCAUCCGUGAGUGUCUGUGAGAGAAUGGAGCUGCCACUGCCUGCUGACCUGUGAACAGAACUGCCAAUUUCCAGACAACACAGAAUGAGCUGCUCCCAAGAACCUUUCUAAACAGGCCAUAGCCCAUUUAUUGAGGGGAGGGGGUCGCAGUGAGAACUCAAGCCGCCGGUCUCAGGACAUUCAGUCAAGAGCAAGGAGGCAAGUGUAUUGGUGCUGCCAGUUUGCUUGCUCUCCGAUAGUUUGCUCCCUUUGUUCUUACGCAGGUCACUGUCCUGCUCCUGAGCAGGUGCUGCCCACGUCUGAGGUAGGUCUUCAUCCCCCGCCAUUCAUUUAAGGCAACCCAGUCACCCUCAGAUAACCCUACAAGCCAAACCCAACCAAGGUAGGGAAUCCCUCACUUAGACUGUCUUCACAGCUGAUUCUAGCUCAUGGCAGGUUGACAUUUAAGACCAAGCAUCUCAGGGGCCACUAAGCCAGGCUGAUAGAUGCCUACAGUUGCCUAUAUCACUCCUGUCUUUCCGCAUUAAUAAAGCUCGUCUUUCCUGAGCUCGUUUUAUGUCCCAGGCAUGCUGUGAAUUCCUUACGUAUGUUACAUUGCUUCUUAUUUUACGCCAGUCCUAUCAUGGGUAGGUGUUGCUAUUGUGUCUGUUUUACAGGUCAGAAAACAAAGCCCCAAAGAGUAGGGCUGUGGAGACAGCACAGUCAACAACACGUUCGGGUUGCAAUCUGAGAACCUGGGCUCAAUGCCUAGAUGAAAAAGCCAGACUCGGUGGCUCACGCUUGUAAUCCCAGUGCUGGGGAGACAGGGACACAUGGAUCCCUGAGGCGCACUGGCCAACUUGGCCUACUUGCUGCAGAGACGGGAAUUCUCAAAGAAAAGAAACAAUCCAAAAAGUCAUGUUUUCCUCUGGCAGCCCACAAGACAGGGACAAGACAGAUACACAAACAGAAAGACACAAGCACUCGGGGUUAAAGGAAGACAUAUUUAAAGGAUGACGGAAUGCAGAAGAUGCAACAGUAUCAACCGGGAGAGACCAGCUGUAUCUUCUGGGGCCAGGUGCUGGGCUCCCUUCCUGUUUCUCUAUCUCUUGAUUUUUCAAGCAGAACACAGUAAUUGACAGUAAUUUGCAUCCUUCCAAGUUUGGGCCUUUUAUCUGCGACUCUAUUGUGCUGUCUGUAAGGUAUGCACGAGGCCUGAGGAGGACUCCUAGCUGUCUCCUCUGUGAUUUGGCAUUGCUUGGGGCUUCAUUAAGAGCAUAACUAUGCUGACGCUGCUGCAGCGAGGACCACAAAUGGGCUAGGGAAAGCAGUUGUUAAAAUAUAAAAAUGCAAUAAAGAAGUCAUGGGUGUUUUUCCACUAAUCAAAUUAUAUGCCGACUUACAUCUUAAGCAGCGACUUAUUAAAGGGGGUUCAAUUACACCUCCUUUCACAGUGCAGACAGUUCUUUAGCCACAAUUAUUUGUUGCUGGAAAAUUACAUUCACGAGUAAUUACAUCCGCGCGUGUUUAAUUGCAGGCUGAAAAAUGAAGAGUGAGCAGUUAAUUAUUUCUCAGAUGUCUGAUGCUACUUGUCAUUAGUUGGUUUGGCGCAGAUGAUUACACCAACUGUGCUUCGCCGACAAAGGGCGGUGGCCCAGGUGACAUAGCCCAGUAGGUGUGGACAUCCAGGGUGAACCCUUUGUCACCUCUGCCAGAGUCCCUCCUCUCUAAAGUCAGCAAGCACAUACUGUGCCUACCUUUUACUCUGUACAUGGAAGGUUCUUUCUGUGCUUCUCUUUGCUUCUGUUGUUCUGAUCUCUUUAGGAAUCAUCUUGCUGUCCAUCCUAUGGGGUUGCAAACCCCU